rnacentral:rRNA from 1 species
GUCCACGCCGUAAACGAUGGGCACUAGGCGUCGGGGGGAGCGACCCUCCCGGUGCCGUCGCUAACGCAGUAAGUGCCCCGCCCUGGGGAGGUACGGCCGCAAGGCUGAAACUAAAAGGAAUUGACGGGGGCCCGGCACAAGCGGUGGAGCAUGUGGUUUAAUUCGAAGCAACGCGAAGAACCUUACCUGGGCUUGACAUGCUGGUGUAAGCCGGUGGAAACAUCGGCCCCUCUUCGGAGCGCCAGCACAGGUGCUGCAUGGCUGUCGU